UACGUAGGGGGCAAGCGUUGUCCGGAAUUAUUGGGCGUAAAGAGCGCGUAGGCGGCUUAGCAAGUCGGAAGUGAAACCCCUCGGCUCAACCAAGGAAGUGCUUUCGAAACUGCUGAGCUUGAGUACUUAAGAGGAUCGCGGAAUUCCCGGUGUAGAGGUGAAAUUCGUAGAUAUCGGGAGGAACACCAGUGGCGAAGGCGGCUACCUGGACCAGCACUGACACUGAGGCACGAAAGCGUGGGGAGCAAACAGGG
rnacentral:rRNA from 1 species